UUAAUUUAUUAGUGGUUAGUGGCGAAAGGGUGAGUAAUGAAUAGGUAACGUACCCUGGGCUUUGGGAUAGCGUCAGUUACUUCGGUAACUUUCCGAAAGGGGCGGUAAUACCAAAUAAUACCAUGUACCUUCAGGUAUAUGGUCAAAGAUUUAUCGGCUUAGGAGCGGCCUAUUUCCUAUCAGCUUGUUGGUGAGGUAAAAGCUCACCAAGGCAACGACGGGUAGCGGGACUGAGAGGUUGGCCCGCCACAUCGGGACUGAGACACUGCCCGGACCUCCACGGAGGGCUGCAGUAACGGAUAUUGCGCAAUGGGCGAAAGCCUGACGCAGCGACGCCGCGUGUAGGAAGAAGUCCUUCGGGAUGUAAACUACUGUCGAGAGACAAGAAAGUUCACUUCGGUGAAUUGAUCAGUCUCACAGGAAGUCACGGCUAACUUCGUGCCAGCAGCCGCGGUAAGACGAAGGUGGCGAGCGUUGUUCGGUGUUACUGGGCUUAAAGCGUGUGUAGGCGGAAAAGUAAGCGUUUUGUGAAAUACCCGGGCUUAACCCGGGAAUUGCUUGGCGAACUACUUUUCUUGAGGCAAGUAGGGGUGCAUGGAACUCUUGGUGGAGCGGUGGAAUGCGUAGAUAUCAAGAGGAACGCCGAUGGAGAAAUCAGUGCACUGGGCUUGUCCUGACGCUGAGACACGAAAGCGUGGGGAGCGAACGGGAUUAGAUACCCCGGUAGUCCACGCUGUAAACGAUGUCUACUAGGUUGCGGAGGUUCUGACACUUUCGCGACCGAAGCAAAAGUGUUAAGUAGACCGCCUGGGGAGUACGGUCGCAAGGCUAAAACUCAAAGGAAUUGACGGGGGCUCACACAAGCGGUGGAGCAUGUGGAUUAAUUCGAAGCAACGCGUAGAACCUUACCUGGGUUUGAC
rnacentral:rRNA from 1 species